CGGAGCGUGGCGCAGCCUGGUAGCGCACCACAAUGGGGUUGUGGGGGUCGGAAGUUCGAAUCUUCUCGCUCCGACCA
rnacentral:tRNA from 2 species